rnacentral:rRNA from 1 species
GACGAACGCUGGCGGCGUGCUUAACACAUGCAAGUCGAACGGAAAGGCCCUGCUUUUGUGGGGUGCUCGAGUGGCGAACGGGUGAGUAACACGUGAGUAACCUGCCCUUGACUUUGGAUAACUUCAGGAAACUGGGGCUAAUACCGGAUAGGAGCUCCUGCUGCAUGGUGGGGGUUGGAAAGUUUCGGCGGUUGGGGAUGGACUCGCGGCUUAUCAGCUUGUUGGUGGGGUAGUGGCUUACCAAGGCUUUGACGGGGAGCCGGCCUGAGAGGGUGACCGGCCACAUUGGGACUGAGAUACGGCCCAGACUCCUACGGGAGGCAGCAGUGGGGAAUAUUGCACAAUGGGCGGAAGCCUGAUGCAGCAACGCCGCGUGCGGGAUGACGGCCUUCGGGUUGUAAACCGCUUUCGCCUGUGACGAAGCGUGAGUGACGGUAAUGGGUAAAGAAGCACCGGCUAACUACGUG